rnacentral:rRNA from 1 species
AUUGAACGCUGGCGGCAUGCCUUACACAUGCAAGUCGAACGGCAGCGGGGGUGCUUGCACCUGCCGGCGAGUGGCGAACGGGUGAGUAAUACAUCGGAACGUACCCUGAAGUGGGGGAUAACGUAGCGAAAGUUACGCUAAUACCGCAUAUUCUAUGAGUAGGAAAGCAGGGGACCGCAAGGCCUUGCGCUUUUGGAGCGGCCGAUGUCGGAUUAGCUAGUUGGUGGGGUAAAGGCCUACCAAGGCGACGAUCCGUAGCGGGUCUGAGAGGAUGAUCCGCCACACUGGGACUGAGACACGGCCCAGACUCCUACGGGAGGCAGCAGUGGGGAAUUUUGGACAAUGGGGGCAACCCUGAUCCAGCCAUGCCGCGUGAGUGAAGAAGGCCUUCGGGUUGUAAAGCUCUUUCGGUGGGGAAGAAAUUGCACCUUCUAAUACAGGGUGUAGAUGACGGUACCCGCAUAAGAAGCACCGGCUAACUACGUG